rnacentral:lncRNA from 1 species
GGGAAUUUUUUGGAAUAUUAUUUUGGGACUUCAAGACGGCAAGAACGUCAACAACCACUCUUCAGCCACGCGUAUUGUCCAUCUCACCUCAGCCUCAUAUCACAUUUCACAUUUCUCACAUCAGAGGCAUUUCAUUUUCGCUCUCAAGAGAGCUCCUCAUCCUCUAACCACAUCUUCAAUUUUCAUCUUCUUCAUAAGUGUUCCUCAUCAUAAAAUCUUCAUUUUUUCCUCUCCAAAAAACCCUAGCCACUCUUCGAUCUCGCAUUUCUCACAUAUCUUCAUCCUUUUCGCCUUUUAUGUUCAAUUUCAUUGAUUGAAACAUCAUUUUUCAUAUUUUCCAUCAAAUAAACACCUUUCUCACCGAUUAUUUUCAUUUUCUACCGAUUAAAUUCAUGUUUCCACCGUUUAAUCGGUUUAUAUUAGGGUUUCUUCGCCAUGCUAUGGUUCAUUCAUAUUUUUAAGGUUUUCUACCGAUCAAACCCUAAAUCCUUGAGUUCUUGUGAGUUCAAUCUCACUUUUGGUCCGAUUAGAGUUUCCUUCCCUCUCCUUCAAGUGUUCCUCAUCAUUCCACUACAUCUUUGUUCGUCGGAGAAGUUUCGAGGAGAUCAGAUUCGUGCUCGUG